AUUGAACGCUGGCGGCAUGCUUUACACAUGCAAGUCGAACGGCAGCGCGGGCUUCGGCCUGGCGGCGAGUGGCGAACGGGUGAGUAAUACAUCGGAACGUGCCCAGUAGUGGGGGAUAGCUCGGCGAAAGCCGGAUUAAUACCGCAUACGACCUGAGGGUGAAAGCGGGGGAUCUUCGGACCUCGCGCUAUGGGAGCGGCCGAUGGCAGAUUAGCUAGUUGGUGGGGUAAAGGCCUACCAAGGCGACGAUCUGUAGCUGGUCUGAGAGGACGACCAGCCACACUGGGACUGAGACACGGCCCAGACUCCUACGGGAGGCAGCAGUGGGGAAUUUUGGACAAAGGGCGAAAGCCUGAUCCAGCAAUGCCGCGUGUGUGAUGAAGGCCUUCGGGUUGUAAAGCACUUUUGGCGGGAACGAAAAGGACUGUGCCAAUACCACGGUUCGAUGACGGUAACCGCAGAAUAAGCACCGGCUAACUACGUG
rnacentral:rRNA from 1 species